UCAGAGGGGGGUAGAAUUNCACGUGUAGCAGUGAAAUGCGUAGAGAUGUGGAGGAAUACCGAUGGCGAAGGCAGCCCCCUGGGAUAAUACUGACGUUCAUGCUCGAAAGCGUGGGUAGCAAACAGGAUUAGAUACCCUGGUAGUCCACGCCCUAAACGAUGUCAAUUAGCUGUUGGGGCACUUGAUGCCUUAGUAGCGAAGCUAACGCGUGAAAUUGACCGCCUGGGGAGUACGGUCGCAAGAUUAAAACUCAAAGGAAUUGACGGGGACCCGCACAAGCGGUGGAUGAUGUGGAUUAAUUCGAUGCAACGCGAAGAACCUUACCUGGUCUUGACAUGUACGGAAUCUUCCAGAGACGGAAGAGUGCCUUCGGGAGCCGUAACACAGGUGCUGCAUGGCUGUCGUCAGCUCGUGUCGUGAGAUGUUGGGUUAAGUCCCGCAACGAGCGCAACCCUUGUCAUUAGUUGCCACCAUUCAGUUGGGCACUCUAAUGAGACUGCCGGUGACAAACCGGAGGAAGGUGGGGAUGACGUCAAGUCCUCAUGGCCCUUAUGACCAGGGCUUCACACGUCAUACAAUGGUCGGUACAGAGGGUAGCCAAGCCGCGAGGUGGAGCCAAUCUCAGAAAACCGAUCGUAGUCCGGAUUGCACUCUGCAACUCGAGUGCAUGAAGUCGGAAUCGCUAGUAAUCGCAGGUCAGCAUACUGCGGUGAAUACGUUCCCGGGUCUUGUACACACCGCCCGUCACACCAUGGGAGUGGGGGAUACCAGAAGUA
rnacentral:rRNA from 1 species